GUGCUAUCUUGCUUAAAAUGACUCCAAGUCAUUCUGCUCAUUGCAGGAUAAAGUCCAAGCUUCUUAGCAAAUCAGUGUGGUCACGGUGUUCUGCUGCCUUUGAUUCAGACGCUUCCUUUGCCACUUCCAAACAUGCACACACAACUCAGGCAUGCAUGACACACCUGCAGCUCCUAGAAGGUCUAAUACUCUCCCACGUGUUCUUACCCUUGGUCCUAUGUAUACUCUCAUGAGUGAUAGAUCAGGAUGAAGACUUUCAGAUAUGGAGUCUUGCUCUGUUGUCAGGCUGGAGUACAGUGGCAUGAUCUUGGCUCGCGGCAACCUCCACCUCUCAGUUCAAGCAAUUCUCCUGUCUCAGCCUCCGGAGUAGCCAGGAUUACAGGUCCUAAGAAUGGAAUUCAGGAGUGGACAAGACAUAACUUUUGCCAUGAAGCAUCUCAUCACACAAUGGAGUCUUGCUCUGCCACCCAGGCUAGAAUGCAGUGUCACAAUCUUGUCUCUGUGCAAACUCCGCCUCCUGUGUUCAAGGGAGUCUCCUGCCUCAGCCUCUGGAGUAGCUGGGAUUACAGGGCUUGUCAAAAUCCUACUCUUUUACUCACCUUACCAACACUCGGAGGCAUGACUUAUGUCUGAAACAAAACUACAAGAGCCAGUGUUUAUACACAAAAAUCUUGGAAUACUCUUGUUUUCAUUUCUUCUGUUGCAGCUUUUCUGGGAGCACCACUGUCUUCCAAAAACAAAUAAAAUGACUAAGAUUACAUUAAUUUGCAUUUCAUUACAUAAUCUGUUGAGAAAAUGGAAC
rnacentral:lncRNA from 1 species